GACGAACGCUGGCGGCGUGCUUAACACAUGCAAGUCGAACGGAAAGGCCCUGCUUUUGUGGGGUGCUCGAGUGGCGAACGGGUGAGUAACACGUGAGUAACCUGCCCUUGACUUUGGGAUAACUUCAGGAAACUGGGGCUAAUACCGGAUAGGAGCUCCUGCUGCAUGGUGGGGGUUGGAAAGUUUCGGCGGUUGGGGAUGGACUCGCGGCUUAUCAGCUUGUUGGUGGGGUAGUGGCUUACCAAGGCUUUGACGGGUAGCCGGCCUGAGAGGGUGACCGGCCACAUGGGGACUGAGAGACGGCCCAGACUCCUACGGGAGGCAGCAGGGGGGAAUAUGGCACAAUGGGCGGAAGCCUGAUGCAGCAACGCCGCGUGCGGGAUGACGGCCUUCGGGUGGUAAACCGCUUUCGCCUGUGACGAAGCGUGAGUGACGGUAAUGGGUAAAGAAGCACCGGCUAACUACGUG
rnacentral:rRNA from 1 species